GAAAAUCAAGCCUAUGAUUAUACAAUCCCUAAGAUUAAGCAACUGACUCAUCUAUCAAUAUUUACUUCCUAUAUUAACAUAUUUACUUUCUAUAACUUAUAACACUCCCCCUCAAGUUGGAUCAUAGAUGUUAAUCAUGCCCAACUUGUUACACAUAUAAUCAACUCAAGUCCCAUUUAGAGCUUUAGUGAAAAUAUCUCCUAAUUGUUCUCCAGUUCAGAUAUGUCCUGUUGAUAUUAACUUUUGUUGGACAUUUUCACGAACAAAAUGACAAUCAAUCUCGAUGUGUUUAGUCCUCCCGUGAAAUACUGGAUUGGAGACAAUGUGGAUAGCUGCUUGAUUAUCACACCACAACUUUGGAGGCACCGAAUUUGUGAACCCAACUUCUUCCAACAGUUGACGUACCCACAAGAUUUCACAAACGGCUUGUGCCAUGGCUCGAUAUUCAGAUUCAGCACUAGAACGGGAGACCACAUUUUGCUUCUUACUUUUCCAUGAGACUAAGUUACCUCCCACAAAAACACAAUGCCCAGUAGUUGACCUCCUAUCAACUUUCGAGCCUGUCCAAUCAGCAUCAGAAAAACAUUCAAUAUUUGAGUGCCCAUGGUUACCAUAGAAUAGGCCUCGCCCUGGGCCCCUUUAAGGUAACAAAGAAUCUGUCCCAAAGCAUCCCACUGGGCAACGGUAGGAGAAGACAUAAACUGACUUACCACACUCACUGAAUAUGCAAUAUUAGAACGAGUCACCGUCAAAUAAUUCAGCUUGCCAACUAAUCUUCUAUACCUUCCAGGAUUUGCAAAUGGCUCACUGUCUUCUGUGGUAAGUUGAAGGUUAGGGGUCAUUGGGGCACUACAAGGCUUAGCACUCAAUUUUCCUGUUUCUGCCAACAAAUCAAGAACAUAUUUUCUUUGAGAUAAGAAGAUGCCUUUCUUACACCGCAUGACUUCAAUUCCCAAGAAAUAUUUCAAGGAACCCAAAUCCUUUGUAUGAAACUGUGUUUUAAGAAAUUCUUUUAAGGAUGUGAUGCCAGCAAUGUCACUUCCUGUAAUAACGAUAUUGUUAGAUUUGGGUCAGGCCUAACUUACCCUAAAAGCUAGCUCAAGGGGGAGAAGUCCCUAUGGCUCAUAUAAGGGGCACAUUACCCCUUUCCACAACCGACGUGGGAUUCAACACACCCCUCACGCCCAGAAUUUUUUACUGGUGCGUGGCACAUUUAUGGGGUGCCCAACAUCAGAUGGAGAGGCUCUGAUAUCAUAUUAAAUUUGGGGCAGGCCUAACUCACCCCAAAAGCUAGCUCAAGGGGGAGGAGUGCCUAUGGCUCAUAUAAGGGGCACAUUACCCCUUUCCACAACCGACAUGGGAUUCAACAGAUAUCAUCCACAUAUACUACAAGCAGAAUUACUCCACUAUCAGAAUUUCUAUAAAACUGAGUGAUCACACUUACUCAUCUUCAUUCCAAACUGUUGGACCACCUCACUAAACCUGCCAAACCAUGCCCGAGGACUCUGUUUCAAGCCAUAAAGGGAUUUUCAAAGUCUACAAACCUUACCUGACUCCCCAUGAGCAACAAAACCAAGUGGUUGCUCAAUAUAAACCUCCUCCUGAAGAUGACCAUGAAGAAAAGCAUUUUUAAUAUCCAGUUGAUGCAAAGGCCAAUCAUGAGUGGCCACCAAGGAAAUAAACAAUCGGACAGAUGCGAGCUUGGCAACUGGGGAGAAUGUAUCAGAAUAGUCAACUCCAUAAGUUUGUACAUAACCUUUGGCCACUAAACGGGCC
rnacentral:lncRNA from 1 species